rnacentral:rRNA from 1 species
UUAAGUCUGAUGUGAAAGCCCCCGGCUCAACCGUAGUAAGCCUUUGAAACUGGGAAGCUUGAGUGCAGGAGAGGGGAGUGGAAUUCCUAGUGUAGCGGUGAAAUGCGUAGAUAUUAGGAGGAACACCAGUUGCGAAGGCGGCUCUCUGGACUGUAACUGACACUGAGGCACGAAAGCGUGGGGAGCA